ACAAGGAUGAGAGUAACUGUUCAUCCCUUGACGGUAUCUAACCAGAAAGCCACGGCUAACUACGUGCCAGCAGCCGCGGUAAUACGUAGGUGGCAAGCGUUGUCCGGAUUUAUUGGGCGUAAAGCGAGCGCAGGCGGUUUCUUAAGUCUGAUGUGAAAGCCCCCGGCUCAACCGGGGAGGGUCAUUGGAAACUGGGAGACUUGAGUGCAGAAGAGGAGAGUGGAAUUCCAUGUGUAGCGGUGAAAUGCGUAGAUAUAUGGAGGACACCAGUGGCGAAGCGGUCUCUGGGUCUGUAACUGACGCUGAGGGCUCGAAAGGGGUGGGGGAGGCAAACAGGAUAUAAGAUAACCCUGGGUAGUCCCACCGCCCGUAAACCAAUGGAGUGGCCUAAGGGUUGGAAGGGUUUUCCGCCCCUUCAGGGCUGCCGCUAACCAAUUAAGCCCUCCCCCCGGGGAAAUACCAACGCCAGGGUUGAAAACUAAAAGGGAUUGGCGGGGGGCCCCCAAAAGGGGGGGAACGGGGGGUUUAAUUUCAAAAACCCCGAAAAACCUUCCCGGGUCUGUGCAUUCCUUUGUACCCCCUUAAAAAAUAAGCUUCCCUUUGGGGGAAAAGACAAGGGGGGGCAGGGUUUCCCCCCCCCCCGGGGGGGAAAUUGGGGUAAACCCCCAACGGGGGAACCUUUUUGUUAGUUCCCCCUUU
rnacentral:rRNA from 1 species